UCUUCCUCCUACAGCUUCCGUCAGUUACAGCGCGUCAUGACUGUGGCACCACAGUUUGCGUUGGCGGGCGAAUCAACAAUCGAUCGUGGUUUUUAAGCUAAGGGGUUGAGUCUCCCGUGUGUUAUUUUUAGUCAUGCGAUGGACAUCCUUUAAGAUGUAAGUGUGAGUGGGAUGCAGGACAGUAGAGCGGUGAAUUAUGCCGUUGCCGUGAGAGUGGACUGAUCGAGGCACUUUUAAAGGUGGCCACAGACAUGGAGAGUCCUUCUAAGAUCGAGAGGCGACAAGCGUGGGCAAGCAGCCGCCACAAGUUUACCGUAAAAGAUGCAGAACACCGCAGCUCCACAGCAGAACAUCAGUCUCAUUUCUCGCUCCAAGAUGAUGUCUUUGUGGAUGGAUGCUCUGCUGGAAAAAUUGAAACCUGGCUUCAAGGUUGUGGGAAUGAAGCCAGUCCUGCCAAAGGCAGUCACCUAACAAUAGGCCCUUCGAGGACAGGUACCAGCUUUUGAGGAUGAUCUGAGUCUGGGUGCAGAGGCUACUGCAUUACAUUAUCCAUCAGGUGCACCACAGUUUAGAAGCACACCACAACACAAACUCAACCUGGCAUUAUUAAGCAUGGGGCAGAGCGUCGCAUCCAGUGCCUUCUCAACCACUACCAACAGGACUGUUUCCAGCGUGUCUGAAGUCCUCCAAAUGCGUGCUGAAGAUGCAGAAGAGACCCUUUUCCAGCUGGGUUUCGGUUGCGAGGAACCGCAGGUCACUGCCCGUAUCCCAGUCCGC